UUAAAAAAGGCAGCUCUGCUUCUGGAUGGUGCACAAAUGACCACUUCCCCCAUGAAAUCUGCAAUUCCCUUCCGGACAGAAACCCUAAAACACAAUGAAAUCAGUGCCCUCACUAGAAUUUAAACUCUUUCAUAUAUUUUUCAUUCAAUAUUCGUAUUAUAUUGCACCAACGUGCAUGCAUAUAUCUAUAUACAUGUAUAAUACUUAAAAUAUAUUUCACGGUAUUGUCUGCUGCAUGGGGGCAAACGCCGGAAAUCAGCCACGCUCAGGCAUUGCAGCUCUCUGCCUGAAGCCAGUUCUGCAGCUCUCGCUCUCCACGCUCCCAUCAGCUGGGUGCUGAUGCCACCCUGCAAGCGGCACGGCGCACAUUCCUGAUUUCUGGUGGUAUUUCACAACCAACAGUCCACUGACAGCCAUCAGAGUUUCUCCCAGACCACUGGGCAUCCCUGCCCUCAAACUAAACAUCCUUACUCAUUAAGCACCAGUGCCUGGGGCUGCUGCAGGCUCAUGCCAUGGCUUCACAGAGGACCCUCAAGCAGAGCUUAGGACCAGCAGCAGCACAUCUGGGACACCAGCAUCUUUUGAAACAGACCAGGUUGUUCUGCAACUAAUGUUGAUUUCUCCCAGCAAACCCACUCCAAAGCCACGUACAGAUAACACCACUAGCAUAGGAAGCUGGUUUGGAAACCAGCCCUCCCAUGGCACUGUCAGAGGAGUACCAAGAGGCUGCAAACCUCCCAUCGGCUGCCACGCGAGGGCUGUGACACCCCCUCCUUCAGCUGCUGAGGAACUCAAUCUGUGUUGGCAAUGCCUUUCAGGAGGCAAACCGGGUGAGGUUUGGAAGGAUGCACCUCGCAGGAACAACCCAUCUCCAGGAGCAGAGGGCUGAAGUGAGCCCGCAGAGAAGAGUAAGUGAGCUCUGCGAGAAGAGCCGGUCCACUGAGUCAGUCCAAAGGACCCUCAUAUUAACCUGCCUCUGAAGUUUAGGUAAACUUCCUGAUCACUUAGACUUUCAAUUUAUUUUUAGGGAACUACUUCCAGUAAGUGGUUCAAGAUGGAUUCUAGUUUAACUGGAAGCUUGGGAAUAAAAAGAUGGUCGCAGGAAAGCUGGGUUCAAUUCUUGC
rnacentral:lncRNA from 1 species